rnacentral:misc_RNA from 1 species
GAUGAAGAACGUAGCGAAAUGCGAUAAGUAAUAUGAAUUGCAGAAUUCAGUGAAUCAUCGAAUCUUUGAACGCACAUUGCGCCCGCCAGUAUUCUGGCGGGCAUGCCUGUUCGAGCGUCAUUUCAACCAUCAAGCCCUGCUUGCGUUGGGGUCCUGCGGCUGCCCGCAGGCCCUGAAAACCAGUGGCGGGCUCGCUAGUCACACCGAGCGCAGUAAUACAUCUCGCUUUGGGCGUGCGGCGGGUUCUUGCCGUUAAACACCUCCUUUUUACCAAGGUUGACCUCGGAUCAGGUAGGAAUACCCGCUGAACUUAAGCAUAUCAAUAAGCGGAGGA